rnacentral:lncRNA from 1 species
UAAUCGUGGCAUUGUCAACCCGCCCCUGAUGUAUCUCUCUCUAAGCCAUAGUUCAAUUUCUAUUUCUACGUGUCGAUCUGUCGCCACUUUGUUUCUAAAUUAGCUCACCUCGUGGAGCUGUUAACUUGUCAGGACCUAGACAAAUGCCCAAUGAGGCAUCCCUGACUCCUCCCUUCCAUGCUUGUUUCCGUGUUUCACAGUCUAAUAAAGUUGGAAUCGUACUCUCUUCAUCUCUUGGCUAAUCCUGUUCACAGUACUGCCAUCCUGGUGAACUUAGUCAUGAACUGUAAUGCAGUGUGGCAAUAACACGUCCUUUAAUUCGUAACAUACACAACCGUAACUUGUUCUUGUGAAUAUGCGCACACGGAGACACGGGAGACACAUAAAACGAUCUCAGAAGAGUCGGGUACAGAGACUAACAACAAACACACGGAUACUGCAGUGGAUUGCAUUAGCAGCUGAACCCCCGCCAAUAUUCAGUGUCAGAAGCCGGCGAAUUUGGAUUUCAUGGUGGUGACAUCAUCUUCGCCCAUGAGGAAGGUCUUGGUGAGCACCUCCAUCGGCAUGGCCGGCUCGGUCGCGAAGAGCGCGAGCGUGGGCGUGACAAGGCCCGGCGACUGGGCGUCGAACAUGGCCAUGAACACGGCGUCCCCGGUGCCAACGUUGAGCUGGUAGUGCUGGAGGCCGCGGGGCACGACGUAGAGCUCGUUCUCCUUCACCACCUUGGUGAAGAGCCGGUUGGUCGCCGAGGUGAACCCGACCAUGACCUCGCCCUUGAGCACCAGCACGAGCUCCGAGCCGCGAGGGUGCGAGUGCGGCGGGUUGAGGCCGCCCACGGCGAGGUCGGUGCGCGUGAUGGAGAGGCCCAGCGUGUUCAGGCCCGGGAAGACCGACACGGUGGCGCGCGUGGAGUUGACGCCGAAGGGGUUGGUGUCGGUUCUGGGCGCGGCGACCAUGGCGUCGGAGAAGAAGUCGUCGUCCUCCACCGUCGACGGCGCCUUGCAGGGGAACCCGUCGACCGCCGUGGCGGCCUUGAGGUCGGCCACGCAGAAGUCCUGGAGCGGUGGCGGGUCCGAGAGGACGCCGGGCGCCGCGGCGAGGGCCACCGCGAGCAGCAGCACGUGGAGCAUCACGUCGCGAGCCGAUGCCAUCAGGCGUGCGUACGUAUAUCGAUCCUAGGCUCGUAGCUUACGCGAGUUGCUCCCCGGCCUGGUGUUUGGUUCCGUGGAAUGGCAAUGUGAUCUUGGUGGUGACAUUGUCGUGCAGCUCGUUCACUAUAAAUAGAUCGCGAUGAACGCAGCAUCCAGAUGCACGGGGAAUGAUUGAUUGACCGAUGCUGUUGCAGGCGGUUUACUGGGUCGUAAAGUGCGUGCAUGGCAGCCAGUGAGGAACCCAACCAAUGAUAACGGGCGGAAGGGGCUAUGUUGAUCGUCGUCAGCGUUUGUCGCUGUCGAGAUCAUGACAACAUUGGGCCCCGUAUGGGACUUACUCAGAUUUCCCGCAGCGACGGGUUCUGUGCGGCGCGGCGCAGGUGCCGAAUGGCAAAUGCCAAUCGGGUGCGGUGCUCUUCGAAUCAAGCUGCUGCGAUGUCUGCUGCUUCCAUUUGUGGUGCGCUGGUGACACACACACACCUCCUGGCUGGGAAAUGGCCGGUCCACUUGUUAAAUGUUAAGUAUGGGUGCGGCUACCUCCUGUCAUCAUGUGGGCUGCGGUGCUCGGGCAGGGGGACCAAGGCGCAAUGAAAUACGGACAUCUCCAAGUGGAGAGUGGAGACCCAAAACCUGCCAUAUUUUCGUAAUCACUAGUUAAGAGUGUUCCUUUGUAAAUUCAUUCCCGUCUUCUUCGGUGAUGACAACUGGCGCGUUGUAUGCGUGAUGUUUGUCACAAUCUGUGAGUUUUGAGCUUUUUAGAUUCACUUAAAACAUUCUACUUCCUCCGUUCCUAAACAUUUGUUUUUCUAGAAAACUCAACGAGUGACUACAUGAGCAAAAUGAGUGAAUCUACACUCUAGAUAUGUCUAUAUACAUCCGUAUGGUGUAUGUGGUAGUCCAUUUGAGAUCUUUAAAAUGAUAAAUAUUUAGGAACGGAGGGAGUAUCAUCUAAGCCGUGCGUCUUGGUUCACAGUGCGAUCAAGAUCUUUGACAAGACUCUGGCUACGCGACUUGCUGCGGAUCUUCCUUCCAUUGUGGGAAACCACCAGAGCACGAAAAUCGUGCGGACGAUCGAUCCACGAUAACUUCAUGCUCGUCCAAUGCACGGCACGGAGGCUACACGCCCUGCGGGACCCGACCAUUAUGCUCAAGCUUGACAUAUCAAAGGCGUUUGACUCGGUGCAAUGGCCAUUCCUACUAGAAGUGCUACGCAAGGCCGAUUUGGUGAGCGAUGGAUCACGUGGAUCUGUGGAAUGCUGGCAAGCACAUCAACAAGAAUCAUGGUCAACGGUACGCCGGGGCGGCCAAUAUGCAACACCGUGGGCUGGAGGCAAGGUGCACCGUUAUCCCCAAUGCUAUUCAUCCUUAUCAUGGAGCCCCUACACCGCAUGUUUGAGCUCGCGACCGCUAGGGGCUUGCUAGCUCCAUUGGCAAGAACCGGGCUGCGUCACCGCCUCUCGAUGUUUGCCGACGACGUAAUGAUCUUCCUCAAGACAAAUGAGAGGGAUUUGAACACCUGCGCAUCACUUCUUACUCUGUUUGGAGAGGCAUCAGGCCUCCGCGUCAACCUUGCCAAAAGCGCGGUCUAUCCUAUACGAUGCUCUGCCGAGACCAUGGAAAUAGUGGAGCGAGCACUUGGGUGCCCGAGAGGUGCCUUCCCGUGCAAGUACCUUGGGUUGCCGCUCACCCUCAGGAAGCAGAUCCAUGUUCAGUUAUCAGGCCUUGUGGAUCAACUUGCGACGGCAUUGCCAAAGUGGAAAGCAACAAAGAUGCCAAAGAGUGGAAGAAUGCUCCUUGUACAAUCAGUGCUAUGUGCGAUUCCGCUACAUGCGAUGAUGGCACUCGACCUCCCACAAAAGACAAUCUCAGCAAUGAACAGAAUAUGCCGCAGUUUCCUUUGGUGCGCGGAGGCAAAUUCGUCCGACGGCAGCUGCGCGGUUGCUUGGGAUUCGGUAUGCGCCCCCAAGUGGGCGGGUGGACUAGGCAUCCCCAACCUAGGAUGGAUGAACAAAGCGGUGCAAGCAAGGUGGCCUUGGUUACAACGAUCGGACGCAACACGACCAUGGGCAGAAUUUGACAUCACGGUGCCAAAAGCCUCAACACAAAUCUUCAACGCGACUGCUCGUUGGACUCUAGGGGAUGGAAAUACAUCACUCUUUUGGGAAGAUAGAUGGCUCGAAGGACACCGGAUCGGAGAGAUCGCACCCUUGGCAUACAUGCGAGUCAGGAAGAGAAUAAGAAGAACAUGCACUGUUUCCCAGGCGCUUCUGAACCACAGUUGGGUCACCCAAGUGAGCCCAGAGGUCACUUCUGAAUCGUUACGCGAGUACCUGCAGUUGUGGACAAUGAUCCAAAGAGUCGAGCUUGACCCAACACAGAGCGAUGCCAUCUCUUGGUCAUGGGAAGCAAGCGGAUGCUACUCAGCGCGGACUGCCUAUGCAGCCAAGUUUUGGGGCCGGCAGGUCGUCCCCACGGCUGAAUUCACAUGGAAAUCAAGGGCACCGGCGCCAUGUCGCUUCUUCACAUGGCUUGCAAUCCAGGACAGGUGCUGUACGUCCGAUCGGCUAGCUAGACGUGGACUGGAUCAUCAAGACUGCUGCCCAAUGUGCAGCCAAGAAGAGGAGAGCAUAAACCACGUUCUACUUCAGUGUGUCGUCGCACGGGAAGUGUGGACGGCGAUCUGCCAUCCCUUGCGCAAGCCGGAGUGGAUACCUACUACGAUUGAAAGCCUCGGGGCAUGGUGUCAAGGCAAGGGAGGAAGAAGGCAUGCCGAAAGAGAUGCAAAUGCAAUCAUCAUUCUAGGGCUAUGGCAGAUAUGGAAGCACCGCAACUCUAUCGUUUUUGACUGAGCCACACCUUCAAAGAACAGGAUCAUACAAGCAUUCAUACGAGAGGGCCGUAUAUGGAAGCAAGCGGGCAUACUACGAGGAGACAUGGACGCUUUCUUUGCGGAAGUGGAGGAGUGGACAGUGGAGCGUAGGUAGACAUAGGAGAGAGAGGUGGAGGGUGGAGUCAGUGUGCAGUGUAUAUAUGUAAUCUGUAACGCUAACGUGGACGGGCUCUUUACCCCGAUUCCUUCUUUGUAAUAUAGUACGCACACUCGUGCGUAUUCGAGAAAAAAAAAGAAAAGAAAAUCAUGAAUCAUUUUCAUCGUUGCGUUUGUCACAUGAAGAUCUAUGAGCCGACUCCCAUGUUCACAGGUUUGGAUGAUGUAAAAAAACAUAAACAAAAAAAAAA